rnacentral:rRNA from 1 species
UACAGAGGGUGCAAGCGUUUGUUCGGAAUUAUUGGGCGUAAAGCGCGUGUAGGCGGCUUUGCAAGUCGGGUGUGAAAUCCCCAGGCUUAACCUGGGAACUGCAUUCGAGACUGCAUUGCUAGAGUAUGGGAGAGGGAAGUGGAAUUUCCGGUGUAGCGGUGAAAUGCGUAGAUAUCGGAAGGAACAUCAGUGGCGAAAGCGACUUCCUGGACCAAUACUGACGCUCAUGUGCGAAAGCGUGGGGAGCAAACAGG